rnacentral:tRNA from 1 species
AGGAUAAUAGUUAAAAUAAAUAACAUUUGAUCUGCAUUCAAAAAUUAUUAGUAUAAAUUAAUUUAUCUUA